rnacentral:lncRNA from 10 species
UUUUUUAUUUCAGUUUCUGGGUUUUUGUUUUUGUUUUCUGUUUUGUUUUGGUUUUGCCUUUGUGGCAAAGGAAGAAAAGAGAAAGAAGUUUUUGUUUGCUCUAGGAAGGAAUUUUGUUCACAGUGGACAUGACAAUGAGGGUUCAAGGGCAGGGAAUUCCCACACUCUGUCAAUAUGAGGGGCACCUGUGACUCCUAGAGCUUAGGACAGGACUUUGAACAAAGUAAGUGUUAAAUAAGUAAUCAUUUGACAACU